GACGAACGCUGGCGGCGUGCCUAAUACAUGCAAGUCGAACGCAGUUGCGAACGGGUGAGUAACGCGUCGGUAACUGCCCCAUUGCGGGGGAUAACUAUUUGAAACGAUAGCCAAUACCGCCUUCUGUGAGAUGGACCUGCGUUGUUUUAGCUAGUUGGUGUGGUUAAGGGUCACCAAGGCGACGAUACAUAGCCGACCUGAGAGGGGGAUCGGCCACACUGGGACUGAGACACGGGCCAGACUCCUACGGGAGGCAGCAGUAGGGAAACAUCGGCAAUGGGCGGAAGUCUGAACGAGCAACGCCGCGGGAGGGAAGGAAGUUUUCGGGUCGUUAAGCUCUGUUGUGAGAGGAGCGGUACCUAACCAGAAAGGGACGGCUAACUACGUGCCAGCAGCCGCGGUAAUUC
rnacentral:rRNA from 1 species